rnacentral:lncRNA from 1 species
GGGUCAUGUUGUCUUCUGAAGCUUACAUUUGUGUUAGUUUCUGUAUUCCUCUUGGUACAAUCCAAAGGAACAGCAGAACUCAGGUCUGGGACAGAUGAUCAAGUUACAGUGUUUCUCAAGUUUGUUCUUUGACAAAGCUUCAUCAUUUGGCUAUUUGCAAUGGAUUUGCCUUUUUUUUUUUUUUUUUUAAUUUGUCAUUUCUUGGCAAGUUAUUUGUUUUCCAGUGAAAGCUGUUGCUUUUACUGUAAAUGACCAUUCAGAACUUUGAACACAGCAAUAAUAAUGUGUCUGUUUGGCUAAAAGACGUGAGCUUAGGGAUUAUCUACCUCUUCUUGUACAAAGAGAUCCGUUAAUGAGCCAGCACAUUACUCAGAUGCUGGCAGCAGACAGCAUGCAUUUUACAAUAAGAUCUAACUUUAAAAAUAUCCAUCAAUUUGAUAAUAUAUCAGGUAACUGCACCUUAUUGUAAAUAAAAGCCCAUUUUUCUAGGUUCUAAAGAUUUAGUUUUUUAAACAUAAAUUGUUCUGAACUUUCAACAACCAUUUUUUUUUUUUCCUAAAAACAAAAGAAAAUUCCUUCUACUAUUUGUAGAAGGGAAAAACUCAGUUUUGUUCUAACUUCAGUGAACUAAGAUAUAACUGUUUUAUCCUACAAAUGGAUGAAGUCUGGAGGUCUGGAUAUUAGCAGAAUCGGUUUCCUUCCUUUGUUAUUCUCUGACACAAUAUUUGAAGACAUGGAAGCAGUGAGGAAGGGACAACAACCUCUGGUCCAAGGCUUCAGUGGUAUGUUCAGAUGUUCCUGGACAACAGUGUUAAAGGUUAAAUGCUCUUGGCAUUUGAUGGGAAAAACUAUAACAAAGGUGGAGUGAAUGAUGCAAACCUAGCAUGAGCUUUAGCUGUUUAGGAUGUUUCCCAUGUGCAUCCUUUGCUGGUCUCCUUGGUAUAAGGGUCAUGUUGUGGGCAAGGAGGAGGUGUGAUUGGAGCAGAACUGGCAGAUGGUCCCUUGAAGGUCGUUUCUUGUUGCUGUCUCCUGUAGUGAUGCCAUAUGCUGUGCAGGGGGAUGUUUCCUUCCUCUUCAUGGAGUGUAAACUCAUCAAAACAGGCAGAGGCAAACCCUAUCCAAACAAGGAAGGGGAGGAAGAUGCAUUGCAAAAUUGUGGAUGGGUCACAUGAUUCAAAAAUACAUGCAUAGAUAUAUUUUUGUCUGGAAGGCCCAGCUCAGAAGUCUGAUGCACUUUAGUGCUUUGCACAGUGAGUUGGUGAGUGCACAUACAGUAAGUUGAAUGCAUUCUGGCUGCAUCUGACUUUUUACCUGUAUGCACUUUGCCGUUUGUCUAGGACUUUGAAUGCUCAGGCUUCCAGAUGUUCAGAAAUCCCCUGCUAAUAUGUUGUAAUAAGAGACUCCAUUGGAGGGUGCUAAA